rnacentral:rRNA from 1 species
UACGUAGGGAGCAAGCGUUGUCCGGAUUUACUGGGUGUAAAGGGUGCGUAGGCGGCUCUGCAAGUCAGGUGUGAAAACUAUGGGCUUAACCCAUAGACUGCAUUUGAAACUGUGGGGCUUGAGUGAAGUAGAGGCAGGCGGAAUUCCCGGUGUAGCGGUGAAAUGCGUAGAGAUCGGGAGGAACACCAGUGGCGAAGGCGGCCUGCUGGGCUUUAACUGACGCUGAGGCACGAAAGCGUGGGUAGCAAAC